rnacentral:rRNA from 1 species
GUGAGGAAUAUUGGUCAAUGGGCGCAAGCCUGAACCAGCCAUCCCGCGUGCAGGAAGACGGCCCUAUGGGUUGUAAACUGCUUUUCCGGGGGGAGAAUUUUUCCGUCGUGACGGGAAUUGACGGUACCCCGGGAAUAAGCAUCGGCUAACUCCGUGCCAGCAGCCGCGGUAAUACGGAGGAUGCGAGCGUUAUCCGGAUUUAUUGGGUUUAAAGGGUGCGUAGGCGGAAUGAUAAGUCAGUGGUGAAAACCUGCAGCUUAACUGUAGACUUGCCGUUGAGACUGUCAGUCUUGAGUGUGGUCAAGGUAGGCGGAAUGUGUAAUGUAGCGGUGAAAUGCUUAGAUAUUACACAGAACACCGAUUGCGAAGGCAGCUUACUGGGCCAUUACUGACGCUGAUGCACGAAAGCGUGGGGAUCGAACAGGAUUAGAAACCCCGGUAGUCC